rnacentral:rRNA from 1 species
GACGAACGCUGGCGGCGUGCUUAACACAUGCAAGUCGAACGGAAAGGCCCUGCUUUUGUUGGGUUCUCGUUUGGCGAACGGGUGAGUAACACGUGAGUAACCUGCCCUUGUCUUUGUGAUAUCUUCAGGAAACUGGGGCUCAUACCGGAUAUGAGCUUCUGCUGCAUGUUGGUGGUUGGAAAGUUUCGGCGGUUGGGGAUGGACUCGCGGCUUAUCCGCUUGUUUGUGGGGUAGUGGCUUACGAAGGCUUUGACGGGUAGCCGGCCUGAGAGGGUGAACGGGCACAAUGGGACUGAGAUACGGACCAGACUCGUACGGGAGGCAGCAGUGGGGAAUAUUGCAGAAUGGGCGGAAGCCUGAGGCAGAAACGCCGCGAGCGGGAAGACGGCCUUCGGGUUGUAAACCGCUUUCGCAUGUGACGAAGCGUGAGUGACGGUAAUGGGUAAAGAAGCAACGGCUAACUACGUG